rnacentral:misc_RNA from 1 species
AGUCGUAACAAGGUCUCCGUUGGUGAACCAGCGGAGGGAUCAUUACCGAGUUUACAACUCCCAAACCCCUGUGAACAUACCACUUGUUGCCUCGGCGGAUCAGCCCGCUCCCGGUAAAACGGGACGGCCCGCCAGAGGACCCCUAAACUCUGUUUCUAUAUGUAACUUCUGAGUAAAACCAUAAAUAAAUCAAAACUUUCAACAACGGAUCUCUUGGUUCUGGCAUCGAUGAAGAACGCAGCAAAAUGCGAUAAGUAAUGUGAAUUGCAGAAUUCAGUGAAUCAUCGAAUCUUUGAACGCACAUUGCGCCCGCCAGUAUUCUGGCGGGCAUGCCUGUUCGAGCGUCAUUUCAACCCUCAAGCACAGCUUGGUGUUGGGACUCGCGUUAAUUCGCGUUCCUCAAAUUGAUUGGCGGUCACGUCGAGCUUCCAUAGCGUAGUAGUAAAACCCUCGUUACUGGUAAUCGUCGCGGCCACGCCGUUAAACCCCAACUUCUGAAUGUUGACCUCGGAUCAGGUAGGAAUACCCGCUGAACCUAAGCAUAUCA